UUCCAGCCAAUCAGCAGCAGACCCUCCCUCCCAGACCCUCCCACCUCCUGGACAGCAUCCAUUGUGAAGCUGCAUUCUUAGUGAGCUGUCCAGGAGGUGGGAGGGUCUGGGAAGGAGGGUCUGCUGCUGAUUGUGAGG
rnacentral:miRNA from 1 species